UACGGGGGGGGCAAGCGUUGUUCGGAAUUACUGGGCGUAAAGGGCUCGUAGGCGGCCAACUAAGUCAGACGUGAAAUCCCUCGGCUUAACCGGGGAACUGCGUCUGAUACUGGAUGGCUUGAAUCCGGGAGAGGGAUGCGGAAUUCCAGGUGUAGCGGUGAAAUGCGUAGAUAUCAGGAGGAACACCGAUGGCGAAGGCAGAUCUCUGGGCCGUAACUGACGCUGAGGAGCGAAAGCAUGGGGAGCGAACAGG
rnacentral:rRNA from 1 species